rnacentral:rRNA from 1 species
UACAGAGGUCCCGAGCGUUGUUCGGAUUUAUUGGGCGUAAAGGGUGCGUAGGUGGUGCUGUAAGUCAGGUGUGAAAUCUCGGGGCUCAACCCCGAAUCUGCACUUGAUACUGCAGUGCUCGAGGACUGGAGAGGAGAUUGGAAUUCAUGGUGUAGCAGUGAAAUGCGUAGAUAUCAUGAGGAAGACCAGUGGCGAAGGCGGAUCUCUGGACAGUUCCUGACACUGAGGCACGAAGGCCAGGGGAGCAAACGGG